GCUCAGGAUGAACGCUGGCGGCGUGCCUAACACAUGCAAGUCGAACGGAGAAUUUUAUUUCGGUAGAAUUCUUAGUGGCGAACGGGUGAGUAACGCGUAGGCAACCUACCCUUUAGACGGGGACAACAUUCCGAAAGGAGUGCUAAUACCGGAUGUGAUCAUCGUCCCGCAUGGCAGGAUGAAGAAAGAUGGCCUCUACAAGUAAGCUAUCGCUAAAGGAUGGGCCUGCGUCUGAUUAGCUAGUUGGUAGUGUAACGGACUACCAAGGCGAUGAUCAGUAGCCGGUCUGAGAGGAUGAACGGCCACAUUGGGACUGAGACACGGCCCAAACUCCUACGGGAGGCAGCAGUA
rnacentral:rRNA from 1 species